ACGGGAGGCAGCAGUGGGGGAUAUUGCACAAUGGGGGAAACCCUGAUGCAGCGACGCCGCGUGAGUGAAGAAGUAUUUCGGUAUGUAAAGCUCUAUCAGCAGGGAAGAAAGACUCGUAAGAGAGAUGACGGUACCUGACUAAGAAGCCCCGGCUAACUACGUGCCAGCAGCCGCGGUAAUACGUAGGGGGCAAGCGUUAUCCGGAUUUACUGGGUGUAAAGGGAGCGUAGACGGAUCGGCAAGUCUGAUGUGAAAGCCCGGGGCUCAACCGCGGGACUGCAUUGGAAACUGUCGAUCUGGAGUACAGGAGGGGUAAGCGGAAUUCCUAGUGUAGCGGUGAAAUGCGUAGAUAUUAGGAGGAACACCGGUGGCGAAGGCGGCUUACUGGACUGUAACUGACGUUGAGGCUCGAAAGCGUGGGGAGCAAACAGGAUUAGAUACCCUGGUA
rnacentral:rRNA from 1 species